rnacentral:snRNA from 1 species
UAGCUUUGGCAGCAAAUGUGCUAAAAUUAUAAUGAUACAGAGGAGUUUAGCAUGUCUCCUGUAAAAAGAUGACACACAAAUUCAUUUAAGCAUUCCAUAUUUUU